UAAUAACCUUGUUAGGUGAGGCUCCUAUACAAACAUAGGCUAUUGCCCAGAAACGUCGAAAGUCGCCAAUGGGUAAAACAGAAACUGUCGGAUUAAGGCUUUUUCCAAUAGCUAAGAAUGUUUUCUUUACGUUGUAUAGUGCUAAAACUCGGACGAUGAGAUGAUGCUA
rfam:Enterococcus faecium ftsW gene for FtsW protein, strain D63